CCUUUGACUCAUCCACCUCAGCCUUUGCCGCCUCAACUUCCUUUGUUUUAUUUUCUUCCUUAUCUUCCUUUUCUUUUCCUUCAACAUUCUCCACUUGUUUAUUUUCAUCCCCAUUCUCCACUUUUUCAUCCAUAUCUGUCCCUUUGUCUUCAUCUACCAGUGUCCCUUCCUCUUUGAUGUCUCCUGUAUUGCCAUCUUUUGUUCCAUUUGCUUUGUCAGCUUCAUGUUGUAUGUCCUCCUUCCCAGCUUU
rnacentral:lncRNA from 1 species